GAAGAGUCUGUAACAGUUCAACAGGGCGCUCCAGUCACAGGUCUUAUCCCACCAGGUGUUACUUAUGCCAGUGAUGUCAAAUCUCUGUGACUCAGCUAAAGCUUUGAGCCCCUCCUGUUUGUUCCUCAUGCUGAGUGUAUUAGUGUAGAAAUAUUUCAGAUAUAGCUGCCUAUUUCUGAGGAAAUUGGAUCUUCAAAACAUGUCUUGCUGGAGAAAGAAGCAUUUAAUUUUUUUAAGAAAGUUCAUUUGUCCGCUUGGAAAAAACAUACAAACUCUCACUGCAAAAGCAAUUAUAAGACAAAACAUACAUUUCAGAGGAUAUAUAUCAAGUAGACUGUAUCCACACAAAGAAGCAAUAAAGUGAUUGUUUAUUCCGACGUGCUUCACCAUGAAGGGUUCACACAUUGGAAGGAGCAAUAAAGGAAAAAGAGAUGUCUCCCUCCAUUUUCAUUUGAACUUAUACAUCCUGGAAAACAGAAAAAUGAGGUGCAAUGACAAGAAAAGAAGAGUGGUGUCAUCAGCUUAAGAACAGACACAGAGCCAUAGUGAAAUCACAGAGGACAUCAUGGACAUUUAAGUCUACAAGAGAGUACUGCAAACCCUGAACUUAUGCAGUGACAGACCGCAGCAGAGCAGGGAGAGGUUUCUCCGAGUAUGAUGUUGUUUCAGGCACACU